rnacentral:rRNA from 1 species
GAUGAACGCUGGCGGCGUGCCUAAUACAUGCAAGUCGAGCGAACAGAUGAGGAGCUUGCUCCUCUGACGUUAGCGGCGGACGGGUGAGUAACACGUGGAUAACCUACCUAUAAGACUGGGAUAACUUCGGGAAACCGGAGCUAAUACCGGAUAAUAUAUUGAACCGCAUGGUUCAAUAGUUAAAGACGGUUUUGCUGUCACUUAUAGAUUGAUCCGCGCCGCAUUAGCUAGUUGGUAAGGUAACGGCUUACCAAGGCAACGAUGCGUAGCCGACCUGAGAGGGUGAUCGGCCAAACUGGAACGGAGACACGGUCCAGAAUACUACGGGAGGCAGCAGUAGGGAAUAUUCCGCAAUGGGCGAAAGCCUGACGGAGCAAAGCCGCGUGAGUGAUGAAGGUAUUCGGAUCGUAAAACUCUGUUAUUAGGGAAGAACAAAUGUGUAAGUAACUAUGCACGUCUUGACGGUACCUAAUCAGAAAGCCACGGCUAACUACGUG